UUUGCUUCAGUCAAAAAUUUUAAAUGCUAUGUUUACCCAUUUUGUCUUAGUAACCUAUUUAUGAAAUUCUCUUCCCCAAGAUAAUUUUCAAGGGAGAAAACGCAGCUUUCUCUUCUUGAUGCCACCUAUUUUUUUUGGCCUUCCUGCUUUGUUGGCAGUUGGAGAGGCACAAACCCCUGGCAUUGAGUUUUCACUGACAACUGCGCUGAUCAGUCCUUAGGAGGCUUUGAGCUUGAAAGGGGGGAGGGGGAGGGAGGAGAGAAAGCUGGUCCCUGUAAUCACUGCUUUAAGAGCUCUUAACAAAACAAACAAUAUUUAUGCAUUUCUCCUUCGCAUUCCAUUUUUACCAGAAUAUAACAAAGAAGUCAUGAUUUUACAGACUUAAAUCAGAAUAUAGGUUUUUACAAGUUUUUAAAAUUCAACAUGUGUUUUAAAUUUUAUUGAUUUCAGUGGGGGGAGGGUAAAAAACCCACCUACUUCAAGGUUGUUUUUUUUUAUGAUUCUGCAGGUCUCAAUUUCCCAUUUUCAGAUGGUAGGCCUAUUAUUUUUUCAAAUUCAUUUAUUAAUUUUUGACAGACAGAGAAGAUUCUAUGUAUGUAUCGUGUACAACAUUACUUUGAAGUAUAUACACACUGUGGAAUAUUAAGAACUAGUUUUACUUUAAAAAUGUCUGUUUUCACAUACUCUUACAUACUCACAUAUACUCAUAAGGACAUAUAUAAAAUUUUUUUUCUAAAGCACCAUUUCACACCUAUCAUGAAAAAUAAUUCAUUUUCUUUUAUAACUUUUAUGAAGAUAAUAAUGCAAUAUACAAUAUCAUUUAAAAUAUAAAUAUCAGCAAAUUAAAACACUGAGAACUUAAAAUUCUGUUCAGAAAUAUUUUAAAAAGCUCACAUAAAUGUGUAAAUUAUAAACUUAUGAUUUACUGAGCAGUCCUAAUAUUUAAAUGAAUGGACAAGAAUUUCUUUCAGCAUUAAAUAAAAAGAACACUAAGUCAAAAUUCAGUUGAAACUCUAAUGGUCAAGUGAACCCAUGAACUCCACAAGGUGACUUUUAUCCUGAUGGCCCAAUAUACAACACAAGAAUAAAAUGGAGAACAUCUACAUACUUUACCUUUUAGCUUUUAUAUUUUUAAGACUAAUUAUCUUGAGGAAGACUUUGCAUCAGAAGAGCUUGGCACAAUAGAGGAUAAUGUGGCUCCGUACUUUGAAAAACAAGUCGAGUUCAGAUAAUUGAUGAAUAAUUACAA